GCACGAGUAGUUCAGAGGUUAGAAUCCUUGCUUCCCAUCUGCCGUUGGACUAGCAAGGGACCCGAGUUCGAAUCUCGGCUCGUGCA